rnacentral:rRNA from 1 species
GACAGAGGAUGCAAGCGUUAUCCGGAAUGAUUGGGGCGUAAAGCGUCUGUAGGUGGCUUUUUAAGUCCGCCGUCAAUCCCAGGGCUCAACCUGGACAGGCGGUGGAAACUACCAAGCUGGAGUACGGUAGGGGCAGAGGGAAUUUCCGGUGGAGCGGUGAAAUGCGUAGAGAUCGGAAAGAACACCAACGGCGAAAGCAACUCUGCUGGGCCGACACUGACACUGAGAGACGAAAGCUAGGGGAGCGAAUGGG